rnacentral:rRNA from 1 species
GCCAAUGGCACUGCCCGGUAGCUAAAUGCGGAAGAGAUAAGUGCUGAAAGCAUCUAAGCACGAAACUUGCCCCGAGAUGAGUUCUCCCUGAGACUAUAAGUCUCCUGAAGGAACGUUAAAGACGAUGACGUUGAUAGGCCGGGUGUGUAAGCGCAGCGAUGCGUUGAGCUAACCGGUACUAAUGAACCGUGAGGCUUAACCUUACAACGCCGAAG